UGGGGAAUCUUGGACAAUGGGCGCAAGCCUGAUCCAGCCAUGCCGCGUGCAGGAAGAAGGCGUUAUGCGUUGUAAACUGCUUUUUGCCAGGGGAUAAAAUGACCGUGCGCGGUUAAUUGAAGGUACCUGGUGAAUAAGCCACGGCUAACUACGUGCCAGCAGCCGCGGUAAUACGUAGGUGGCAAGCGUUGUCCGGAUUUAUUGGGUUUAAAGGGUGCGUAGGUGGCCCUGUAAGUCAGUGGUGAAAUAUCUCAGCUUAACUGAGAGGGUGCCAUUGAUACUGCAGGGCUUGAGUACAGAUGAGGUAGGCGGAAUUGACGGUGUAGCGGUGAAAUGCAUAGAUAUCGUCAAGAACACCGAUAGCGAAGGCAGCUUACCAAGCUGUAACUGACACUGAGGCACGAAAGUGUGGGGAUCAAACAGGAUUAGAUACCCCUGUAGUCCCUGAGCGGGCUGGCAAGGCGCAU
rnacentral:rRNA from 1 species